AGAGUUCGAUUAUGGCUCAGGAUGAACGCUGGCGGCGUGCUUAACACAUGCAAGUCGAACGAAGCAUUUGCGACAGAUUUCUUCGGAUUGAAGUUGCUUAUGACUGAGUGGCGGACGGGUGAGUAACGCGUGGGUAACCUGCCUUAUACAGGGGGAUAACAGUCAGAAAUGGCUGCUAAUACCGCAUAAGCGCACAGAGCUGCAUGGCUCAGUGUGAAAAACUCCGGUGGUAUAAGAUGGACCCGCAUUGGAUUAGCUUGUUGGUGGGGUAACGGCCCACCAAGGCGACGAUCCAUAGCCGGCCUGAGAGGGUGAACGGCCACAUUGGGACUGAGACACGGCCCAG
rnacentral:rRNA from 1 species